CCCCUUCCUCGGACGAAAUACAACAUGUCCCGCUGCCGCUGGAAACGCCGCAGCUCCUGCUGCUGCUGCUUCGGAGUUUCAGCCGCGGGAUGACCUCGCCUGGGCGACGGAAAAGUUAGAAGCGGAGAGAGAGCGAGAAGAAGCAGACAAGCUACUUUCUUGUGGCUAAGAAACCUUUGGGAUGGAGAGGUUGUGAAUGAUGACAUGAGCAUAUUAUUAGUGUCAAAAAGGACAGAAAUGACUUGCUGCUGUCUUCUGGAAGAUACUUUUUCUUUACUUCCCAGUGUAGGCUUAUAGCUUUGGGAAAACAAAGACAAUCUAUCUCAUACAUGCAUGGUGUAAGUUAUUUAUUUAGUUUACAGUUCUUAUAAUCUACUCAAGCAAAACUGGAUGGGGCUACAAAAUGUUAAACUAGCAAUAAAUUAUAACAUAAUUCAAGUAGUAUUAAAUUAGUUAUUUCAAUCAAUCUUCCUUCAAAAUGGAUGCCAAUGAACCUAUGUAAAACUGAAGAUCCUGUGAAAUAAAAUGAUCUUUAAAGUUGUAAAAGCCAUGGAGGAGGGAGCUUCAAAUGUGUAAACUAGGGCAACACUGACAAUUGCUGCUAUAAGUUAAAAAUUAACUUGACACAGAGAGGACAAACAUUAUUAAAUGUCAAAAGAUGCCUUCAGAAAUAGAUAAAAAGGAGAUAAGUUGUUAAGACACAAAAAAAACCAUGAAAAAAAAUCCAUCAAAAGACAACAAAGGAAAGCUGGGUACAAAGUCCAAGGAAACCUUAAUGUCAUUGACAGUUGCCAAAUUUACAAAUCAAUAAAUCAAGGAUAUAGGGAUAAAAAGGGGCACCCCAGUUUUUUGAGUAGUUGAGUAUGGAUUUAGUGGCUCCUAUUUCUCUGGUUAGUCCCUGGCCAGCCUAGCUGGAUGACAGUUGGGUAAGUGGAAUGUGAACAAGAAAGAGUGAAUGUAACAAUGAUUGUAUGCCACACAUUAAAUCAAUAAAGUUUUACUGUAGCUUUAAAUUCAGAGCGUCUUUGUGUAUUCCAAUAACACUGAUUGCCUCAAUGCUUGGUUGAAAGUGGUUUGUGAGAAUUACCAAUUCUUUUCUCUGAUCUGCACAUGUAAUUAUGUCCUAGGAUGAGCAUGAGUUCUUUUUUAAAGGAGAAAUGUAUUGAUUCCAGUCAUCAAAAUAAUGUUAUGGAUAUGUGGCUAUGGAGAUAAAUGGAUAAUGAAGAUACAAGGGAAAUGGAAUUACUGCAAAUAUUUAGUUCCUUUUUUUAAAAAAAAUUGAUCUGCUGGAAAAGUUCUGUUGAAGACAUGGAUAUCCAUGUGACAGAAAUGGAGUUAAAUGCUAAAAAGUGCCUCCUAAUGUUACAAGGUAAAAUAUGACCUUUUAUACGUGCAUCACAAUAUGUAAGUGAAGUAUGUAAGGUAUGUAUGUGAACUAUGAAGUAUGCAUAAUACAAAGCUUGCAUUCUAACAUAAUGCAUGUUCAAUCAUUUUGAUGAAAUCUUAGUUUUCUAUAGACACUGCUAAUUGAUUACAGUAUGUUCUGAUGAAUGAUUUUCUAAGGACCAACCUGAUUUUUAUGGAAAGAAGAGUAUUUGAUCUAUGAUAAUCAAAUCAAGUCAUCUCUUAGAUUAAUUAAUUAAAAUUAAGUUUUAGCAUAUUAGUGGUAAUUACAGGAAGUGAUGGCAGUGGUUAAGAGUGGUUAAGUAGUGGUUAAGCAGAAUACAUUCUCAUUACUGAUUCUCUAGGAAACUUUCAGUAAAUUCAUUGAAUAUGUUUAAUACACAUAAAAGUUACAGUAAGAAUUUGUACUAUGGAGGUAGAUAUUGAAGUGCAGAAAUUGUUCUCAAGUAUUUCCAUUUUGAAAUUGGUUUCUGAAACAUCUGUCAACAAGAUUGCAACUUCUUAAAUACUGAGCCCUAGCAAACUGGUUUAUAAAUUAUUAUGUAAAUUUAGCCAAUUGUAAUUUAUUCCAUAACUUUGAUUAAACUAAUCAUUUAUUGCAUUGGGCACAUAAGGGCAACCUAAGACCCUUAAUGAGUUGGUGUAUAGUAAAGUGUUUUGAUUCAAUUGUUUAAUUAGUUUAUCAGAAUAUAAAAUAGGGAAAAUGAAAAUAAUGGAAAACUAGAGGAAAAAAAGGAAAAAGUAUAAGGUAAAAGGAGAAAAGAAAAGCAUUGACUUCCAACUUUUUUUAGCACAAGUAGGAGAUAAUAGCAUUAAAGUCUCAAUUUUUGCUUUUACACAGUAAUAUAUACUAGCUAUUUCUAUAACAACAAACCUAUUUAAUCCACAAAAUUGAAAAUCAAUGUUUCGUUCUUCCACCUCAAGCAUGAAACCCAGAAGUGGUUUCCAAGUGGAAACAAAAUUAGAAGUUGUUUUCUUUGAAUAAAGCAGUCAAUUUAAUCAUCUCUACAUUUUUUUCCUUAUGGGAAGUAAUAUAUAUUUAGCAGAGUAACUCUAGAUAAAAGACUUUAGUAGGCUAUAAUUUAGAAAGAAAAACAGUUGCCUAGAACUUUUCAAUAGGAGAAUAAAAAGGAAUAAAGCAGUGU